GAUGAAGAACGUAGUGAAAUGCGAUAAGUAAUGUGAAUUGCAGAAUUCAGUGAAUCAUCGAAUCUUUGAACGCACAUUGCGCCCCUUGGUAUUCCGGGGGGCAUGCCUGUUCGAGCGUCAUUAUCACCCCUCAAGCUCAGCUUGGUGUUGGGGCCGGCCCGUCACAGGGCCGCCCCUAAAAGCAGUGGCGGUGCCAUCUGGCUCUACGCGUAGUAAUACUCCUCGCGACAGAGUCCCGGUGGUCUCCUGCCAGAACCCCCCAUUUUUUAAUGAUUGACCUCGGAUCAGGUAGGGAUACCCGCUGAACUUAAGCAUAUCAAUAAGCGGAGGA
rnacentral:misc_RNA from 1 species